rnacentral:misc_RNA from 1 species
UUUCGUGUAAUUGAGGAGGAAAGUCCGGGCAAUAAAGGGCACCUUGCUUCCUAACAGGAAGAUAUCCGUGAGGGUAUAGUAAUGCAGCAGAAAAUAACCGUCAGGCUUUGCUUGAUAAGGGUGAGAAGGUGAGGUAAGAGCUCACCGGUAUCCGUGGUAACACAGAUAGCCGUGCAACUCAAGGAUUGCAAGACCAAAUAUAUCACGAUUUCGUAAGAUACGGAGCGGCCCGUUCUGGUGUUUCGGCAGUCGUGAGGGGUAGGUUGCUGA